UACGUAGGGUGCGAGCGUUGUCCGGAAUUAUUGGGCGUAAAGGGCUCGUAGGCGGUCUGUUGCGUCGGGAGUGAAAACUCAGGGCUUAACCCUGAGCCUGCCUCCGAUACGGGCAGACUAGAGGUAUGCAGGGGAGAACGGAAUUCCUGGUGUAGCGGUGAAAUGCGCAGAUAUCAGGAGGAACACCGGUGGCGAAGGCGGUUCUCUGGGCAUUACCUGACGCUGAGGAGCGAAAGUGUGGGGAGCGAACAGG
rnacentral:rRNA from 1 species